AACCUGUUUUGUGAUGAUAGACUCGUCUUGAAACAUGGACCAAGGAGAUUAACUUAUUC
rnacentral:rRNA from 1 species